AUCUCGUGGGUUGGCAGCUCAAUCUGCAGAUGGCUUCGUCGGCUCGGAGCAGACUGUAAGCGCCGCAUACCGUCCUCAAUCUGGGGCUCCGGACGGAGGACGACACCGAGCGUCUGCAGGACGUGUUUGUGGAGUUCAACCAUCAGCAUCUGCUGGACUUCUACAAUCAGAUGGAGAUGAUUCAGACUCAGCUGGACUCGCUCAGCUGACACAGCUCCGGUGACGUCUGUGCUUGUUCCUGGAUUUGUGUGCUUCAGACUGAAGCUCUGGAGUGUGUG